rnacentral:rRNA from 1 species
GUGGGGAAUUUUACACAAUGGGGGAAACCCUGAUGUAGCAACGCCGCGUGGAGGAUGCCGGAUCUAGGUCUGUAAACUCCUUUUAUAAGGGAAGAAAUUUGACGGUACCUUAUGAAUAAGCACCGGCUAACUCCGUGCCAGCAGCCGCGGUAAUACGGGGGGUGCAAGCGUUCCUCGGAAUCACUGGGCGUAAAGGGAGCGUAGGCGUUUUAUUAAGUCUUGAGUGAAAGCUCGCAGCUCAACUGCGGAACUGCUCAGGAAACUGAUACAAUUGAGUAUGGAAGAGGUAGGUGGAAUUUCCGGUGUAGGGGUAAAAUCCGUAGAUAUCGGAAGGAAUACCAGAAGCGAAGGCGACCUACUGGGACAUUACUGACGCUGAGGCUCGAAAGCGUGGGGAGCAAACA